CCUACGGGGGGCAGCAGUGGGGAAUAUUGCACAAUGGGGGAAACCCUGAUGCAGCAACGCCGCGUGAAGGAAGACGGUUUUCGGAUUGUAAACUUCUUUUCUUAGUGAAGAAGCAAGUGACGGUAGCUAAGGAAUAAGCAUCGGCUAACUACGUGCCAGCAGCCGCGGUAAUACGUAGGAUGCGAGCGUUAAUCGGAAUUACUGGGCGUAAAGCGCUCGUAGGCGGUAUGUUAAGUCAAGGGUGAAAUCCCCGCGCUCAACGUGGGAACUGCCUUUGAAACUGGCAAACUGGAGUGUGUGAGAGG
rnacentral:rRNA from 1 species